rnacentral:rRNA from 1 species
CCUACGGGCGGCAGCAGUGAGGAAUAUUGGUCAAUGGACGAGAGUCUGAACCAGCCAAGUAGCGUGAAGGAUGACUGCCCUAUGGGUUGUAAACUUCUUUUAUAUGGGAAUAAAAUGUUCCACGUUUGGGAUUUUGUAUGUACCUUAUGAAUAAGGAUCGGCUAACUCCGUGCCAGCAGCCGCGGUAAUACGGAGGUGCCGAGCGUUAUCCGGUUUUAUUGGGUUUAAAGGGAGCGUAGGUGGAUUGUUAAGUCAGUUGUGAAAGUUUGCGGCUCAACCGUAAAAUUGCAGUUGAAACUGGCAGUCUUGAGUACAGUAGAGGUGGGCGGAAUUCGUGGUGUAGCGGUGAAAUGCUUAGAUAUCACGAAGAACUCCGAUUGCGAAGGCAGUUCACUGGACUGCAACUGACACUGAGGCUCGAAAGUGUGGGUAUCAAACAGGAUUAGAUACCCUAGUAGUC